rnacentral:rRNA from 1 species
AGAAACCAACAGGGAUUGCCCUAGUAACGGCGAGUGAAGCGGCAACAGCUCAAAUUUGAAAUCUGGCUCUCGGGCCCGAGUUGUAAUUUGUAGAGGAUGCUUUUGGUGAGGUGCCUUCCGAGUUCCCUGGAACGGGACGCCAUAGAGGGUGAGAGCCCCGUCUGGUUGGACACCGAGCCUCUGUAAAGCUCCUUCGACGAGUCGAGUAGUUUGGGAAUGCUGCUCUAAAUGGGAGGUAUAUGUCUUCUAAAGCUAAAUAUUGGCCAGAGACCGAUAGCGCACAAGUAGAGUGAUCGAAAGAUGAAAAGCACUUUGAAAAGAGAGUUAAAAAGCACGUGAAAUUGUUGAAAGGGAAGCGCUUGUGACCAGACUUGGGCUUGGUUAAUCAUCCGGCGUUCUCGCCGGUGCACUUUUCCAGUCCAGGCCAGCAUCAGUUUGCCUUGGGGGAUAAAAGCUUCGGGAAUGUGGCUCCUCCGGGAGUGUUAUAGCCCGUUGCACAAUACCCUGGGGCGGACUGAGGUUCGCGCAUUCGCAAGGAUGCUGGCGUAAUGGUCAUCAGCGACCCGUCUUGAAAACACGG